UACGUAGGGUGCGAGCGUUGUCCGGAAUUAUUGGGCGUAAAGAGCUCGUAGGCGGUCUGUUACGUCGGCUGUGAAAACCUGGGGCUCAACCCCGGGCCUGCAGCCGAUACGGGCAGACUAGAAUUCGGUAGGGGAGACUGGAAUUCCUGGUGUAGCGGUGAAAUGCGCAGAUAUCAGGAGGAACACCGGUGGUGUAGACGGCUUUCUGGACCGUAACUGACGCUGAGACACGAAAGCGUGGGUAGCAAACAGG
rnacentral:rRNA from 1 species